UACGGAGGAUCCGAGCGUUAUCCGGAUUUAUUGGGUUUAAAGGGUGCGUAGGCGGCCUAUUAAGUCAGGGGUGAAAGACGGUAGCUUAACUAUCGCAGUGCCUUUGAUACUGAUAGGUUUGAAUAUACUUGAGGUAGGCGGAAUGUGACAAGUAGCGGUGAAAUGCAUAGAUAUGUCACAGAACACCAAUUGCGAAGGCAGCUUACUAAAGUAUGAUUGACGCUGAGGCACGAAAGCGUGGGGAUCAAACAGG
rnacentral:rRNA from 1 species